rnacentral:misc_RNA from 1 species
UUUCCGUAGGUGAACCUGCGGAAGGAUCAUUAUCGUACAAAAUGUGAGGGGCAUGCGAGGGCUGUCGCUGACCCAAAAGUCGUGCACGCCCGAGUGUGUCCUCACACACAUCCAUCUCACCCCUAUGUGCACCACCGCGUGGGUCCCCCUUUGGCUUGUUCGGAGGGGGGCUUACGUUUUCACACAAACUUUGUAUGCAGUGUAGAAUGUAUUUUUUGUUUUUGCGAUCACGCAAUCAAUACAACUUUCAACAACGGAUCUCUUGGCUCUC